rnacentral:rRNA from 1 species
GACGAACGCUGGCGGCGUGCUUAACACAUGCAAGUCGAACGGAAAGGCCCUGCUUUUGUGGGGUGCUCGAGUGGCGAACGGGUGAGUAACACGUGAGUAACCUGCCCUUGACUUUGGGAUAACUUCAGGAAACUGGGGCUAAUACCGAUAGGAGCUCCUGCUGCAUGGUGGGGGUUGGAAAGUUUCGGCGGUUGGGGAUGGACUCGCGGCUUAUCAGCUUGUUGGUGGGGUAGUGGCUUACCAAGGCUUUGACGGGUAGCCGGCCUGAGAGGGUGACCGGCCACAUUGGGACUGAGAUACGGCCCAGACUCCUACGGGAGGCAGCAGUGGGGAAUAUUGCACAAUGGGCGGAAGCCUGAUGCAGCAACGCCGCGUGCGGGAUGACGGCCUUCGGGUUGUAAACCGCUUCCGCCUGUGACGAAGCGUGAGUGACGGUAAUGGGUAAAGAAGCACCGGCUAACUACGUG